rnacentral:rRNA from 1 species
CCUACGGGUGGCAGCAGUGGGGAAUAUUGGGCAAUGGGCGCAAGCCUGACCCAGCAACGCCGCGUGAAGGAAGAAGGCCCUCGGGUUGUAAACUUCUUUUAUUCGGGACGAAACAAAUGACGGUACCGAUGAAUAAACCACGGCUAACUAAGUGCCAGCAGCCGCGGGAAUACGGAGGUGGCAAGCGUUAUCCGGAUUUACUGGGUGGAAAGGGCGUGUAGGAGGGAGAGCAAGUCAGACGUGAAAUUACAGGGAUAAACCCUGGAACUGCGUGUGAAACUGUUCUUCUGGAGUGAUGGAGAGGCAGGCGGAAGUGCGUGUGUAGCGGUGAAAUGCGUAGAUAUACGGAGGAACACCAGUGGCGAAGGCGGCCUGAUGGACAUUAACUGACGCUGAGGCGCGAAAGCGUGGGGAGCAAACAGGAUUAGAUACCCCGGUAGUC